rnacentral:rRNA from 1 species
ACGAACGCUGGCGGCGCGCCUAAUACAUGCAAGUCGAACGAGAAGGUGUAGCAAUACACUUGUACAGUGGCGAACGGGUGAGGAAUGCAUGGGUAACCUACCCUCGAGUGGGGAAUAACCAGCCGAAAGGCUGGCUAAUACCGCGUACGCUUCCGGGUCUGCGGAUUCGGAAGGAAAGUCACACCGUGGGUGUGACGCUCAAGGAUGGGCUCAUGUCCUAUCAGCUUGUUGGUAGGGUAACGGCCUACCAAGGCUUCCACGGGUAGCUGGUCUGAGAGGACGAUCAGCCACACUGGCACUGCGACGCGGGCCAGACUCCUACGGGAGGCAGCAGUAAGGAAUAUUGCGGAAUGGGCGAAAGCCUGACGCACCGACGCCGCGUGGGGGAUGAAGGUCUUCGGAUUGUAAACCCCUUUCGGGAGGGAAAAUGGAACGAGCAAUCGUUCGGAUGGUACCUCCAGAAGCAGCCACGACUAACUUCGUGCCAUCAGCCGCGGUAAUACGAAGGUGGCAAGCGUUGUUCGGAUUUACUGGGCGUAAAGGGAGCGUAGGCGGUUUGGUAAGCCCCUCGGGAAAUCUUCGGGCUCAACCCGGAAAGGUCGAGGGGGGACUGCCAGGCUAGAGGAUGGGAGAGGAGCGCGUAAUUCCCGGUGUAGCGGUGAAAAUGCAUAGAGAUCGGUAGGAAGGCCGGUGGCGACUGCGGCGCUCUCGAACAUAUGUGACGCUCACGCUCGAAAGCGUGCGGAGCAACAUGAUUAGAUACCCUGCUACUCCACGCCCUAAACGAUGGACACUAAGUGUCGGCCGCUACCGCCCGUGCCGCAGCAUACGCAAUAAGUGUCCCGUCUGAGUAGUACGCCGCAGGAUGAAACUCAUAUGAAAUGACUGCGCA